rfam:Populus trichocarpa scaffold_2_contig_56, whole genome shotgun sequence.
CCUCUCACAGCUGAUGAUAUCAUCACCUAUGUGCUUGCAGGACUUGGCCAUGAAUAUGAUUCUUUAGCUUCUAUCAUCACCUCUCGUUUCGAUUCUGUCACUCUUGAGGAACUCUACUCACUUCUUCUUAUAAGUGAGU